UUUCCGUAGGUGAACCUGCGGAAGGAUCAUUAUUGGAUUUUGAAACUUCAGGCUGCUGCUGGCUCUCCUCGGAGGGCAUGUGCACGCUUGUUGUCCAUUAUCUCUCCCACUGUGCACAAACUGUAGACCUUUCAGUAGGCCUAUGUUGUUUUUCACAAUCUCUGAAUGUAAUAGAAUGGUUUUGAAUCUUGGGAAAUACAAUACAACUUUCAGCAACGGAUCUCUUGGCUCUC
rnacentral:misc_RNA from 1 species